ensembl:snRNA U6 U6 spliceosomal RNA
GUGCUCGCUUUGGCAGCACAUACACUAAAACUGGAAUGAUACAGAGAUUAUGGCCCCUGAGCAAGAAUGACACGCAAAUUCGUGAAUCGUUCCAUAUUUUU